ACUGACAAGUUCUAAAAAUUUCGUCAGUGAUAAUGAAAUUCACAAAAAUAUUGUUCGUUGUAGUCCUGCAUUUUUGCACUCUGCAAAUCAUCACCGGAACACAAACGAACGAAACUUACCCAGCAAAUAGCGGUUUUGGAUAUGAGCUAGUUUUGGAAAGAUUAGACUUUCUCGAAUUCAAAUUUCAAGAGCUGUUUGUGCAAAUCAAGGAGCAAGCUGAGAUAAUUGAAAAUAAUCAACGUCGCAUUGAAAGUAGCCAAACCGAUCUCCAAUGGAAGUUGGAAACCUCGGACAAGAAAACUGUCUUGCUGGUUCGCCAACUGGACAGUUCUAUAUCCGAUCAUGUGACCUUGAUCAACGGGAAUUUGUCUAUCGUGAAUGCUGCCGUGGCACAGGAUGCGACGCAUACCACCGACUUGAUGGAAGAUCUGGAGCAUUCGUUAUCUAAAAAUAUGUCCGAUGUUAAAGAUUAUUCCAGAAAAAUUUUGGAACUUCAAACAAUCUGUUCAAACCACGAUUCGAUAAAGAGUGCUCUGUUUGAGCUGCAGCCAAAGAAGCGCACAAAUGCUAAUGCUACAACUACCGAGAGAGCACUCGGAAAUUGUCAAGAAGAACCAACUAAAGUUUCCGGUCUAUAUCAGCUAGAACUCAACGGAGAGGGUUCUGAGUUAGUUACGGUAUUUUGUGAACAGCAACAAUAUGGCGGUGGCUGGUUGGUGAUAAUGCAACAGUCCAAGGGAUUGGUUGAUUUCAAUCGCAGUUGGGCUGACUACAAGAAUGGGUUUGGUGAUAUUGGAGGGGACUUCUGGAUGGGUCUGGAACAGAUUCAUCAAAUAGUUUCAAAGGCCAAGUAUGAACUGCUGAUUGAUAUGGUCGACUUCGACAACGACAAUUGGUACGCUAGAUACUCAUGGUUUUCAAUUGGCGGCGAAAAUGAAAUGUACAUGCUCGACCAUGCGGACAAUUAUUCUGGAUCAGCAGGGGAUUCACUGUCCCGGCAUGUGGAACAUAAAUUCACCACAUUCGAUGUUGACAAUGAUCCAUACAACGGAAAUAAUGCAGUUCAUUACGGAGGUGGAUGGUGGUACCACGAUGAUCUAGAUAGUCAUCUAACAGGAAAAUUGUCUUCCCAGAGGAAUAAGAAGAGCUUAGUUUGGGGCUCUUUCGGAUCGGAAGCCCAUCCAUUGACAUCAGUCAAAAUGAUGAUACGUAAAUACGCUUUGUUACGAUGCCAGAAUGCAGCCAAUUUAGCAGUUCAUUUGCGAAAGGAACCUUGACGACAAUAUCGAAGACAAUCGAGGAAUAUGAUGAUCACAACAGAAAGCCGAAUAAUCGUUCAAGGGAGAUAACGCAGUGAAGGUGUCAGAUGACGAAGCAGUUUUUUCCCAAAAUUAUAUAUCGCCAGAUUUCUUAAACAUUAAAUUAAAAUAUACCCUAUUUCGCUAAAAGUAAAGUUUAGGAUAACAAUGUCUAAGUUUAUAAAUAUUCUAAAUUAAUAUUAUCCUAAAAUAGUAAGUAGCAACAAGAUUAAUUUGAUCCUAUAUAUACUAAACAUGCGUGAAUUUAUAACUUAGGCUAAACUAAACUAAGCUAAACUAAACGGAUAAACACUUAGAGUGAGCAGAAAGGAUUUGUCACUAAAGAUCCAUUUGGAGAGGUAAAUUACCAUCGAACAGCCAAGAAAUCAUUACAAUUUGUAUGUAUUACAGUAGGUACCAGUUGAGGUUAGGUUGAGCUCUACUAAGAGGGACGUAUGAGAUCGAUUCUCAUCUCAUCUAAAGCCAUAUCACUAUAAUUUCUACAGCUGAUCAUCACACUACAACAGUAUUUACGAUCUGCUACGAGAAACAGUGGGCCACACGUUACUUGAAGUAACACGCUUCUUGAAGUCCGG